rnacentral:rRNA from 1 species
UACGUAGGGUGCGAGCGUUAAUCGGAAUUACUGGGCGUAAAGCGUGCGCAGGCGGUCUGUUAAGACCGAUGUGAAAUCCCCGGGCUUAACCUGGGAACUGCAUUGGUGACUGGCAGGCUUUGAGUGUGGCAGAGGGGGAUGGAAUUCCGCGUGUAGCAGUGAAAUGCGUAGAGAUGCGGAGGAACACCGAUGGCGAAGGCAGCCCCCCUGGGAUAACACUGACGCUCAUGCACGAAAGCGUGGGGAGCAAACAGG